rnacentral:rRNA from 1 species
CAAGGCGACGAUCCCUAGCUGGUCUGAGAGGAUGACCAGCCACACUGGAACUGAGACACGGUCCAGACUCCUACGGGAGGCAGCAGUGGGGAAUAUUGCACAAUGGGCGCAAGCCUGAUGCAGCCAUGCCGCGUGUAUGAAGAAGGCCUUCGGGUUGUAAAGUACUUUCAGCGGGGAGGAAGGUGUUGUGGUUAAUAACCGCAGCAAUUGACGUUACCCGCAGAAGAAGCACCGGCUAACUCCGUGCCAGCAGCCGCGGUAAUACGGAGGGUGCAAGCGUUAAUCGGAAUUACUGGGCGUAAAGCGCACGCAGGCGGUCUGUCAAGUCGGAUGUGAAAUCCCCGGGCUCAACCUGGGAACUGCAUUCGAAACUGGCAGGCUUGAGUCUUGUAGAGGGGGGUAGAAUUCCAGGUGUAG